UAGAUGCGAGAGUAGAGCAUAUCAAUAAGCGGAGGAAAAGAAACUAACAAGGAUUCCCUUAGUAACGGCGAGUGAAGCGGGAAGAGCUCAAAUUUGAAAUCUUCAAGGUUCUACCUUGACGAAUUGUAGUUUAUAGAAGUGUUUUCUGUUAGUGGAGUGGCAAAAGUUCUUUGGAAUAGGACAUCAUAGAGGGUGAGAAUCCCGUAUUUGGUCAUUCCUCCUAGCGUUGUGAUACACUUUCAACGAGUCGGAUUGUUUGGGAAUGCAGUCCAAAAUGGGUGGUAAAUUUCAUCUAAAGCUAAAUAUUGGCGAGAGACCGAUAGCGAACAAGUACCGUGAGGGAAAGAUGAAAAGAACUUUGAAAAGAGAGUUAAACAGUACGUGAAAUUGUCAAAAGGGAAGCGUUUGACACCAGUGUUGUUUUUUCCGAAAAUCAAUUACGAAUGUUUUAUUUUUGAGGAGUUAUGACUUCAUCGGCUUGCUUCCUCUCUUUAUCGGAACUUUCUUAAUGCACCUUUCGGUUAACAAGUCAACAUCAAUUUCUUUUGUUGUAAAAGAGUAUGAGGAAGGUGGCUUCCUUUUCGGAGAAAGUGUUUAUAGCCUUGUGCCUCUGCAAUCGGAGAGAUUGAGGUCUGCAGCGUAGACUCUUCGGGGUUAGAUACAUUUGUGCUAAGUUAUAGCUUUUCAUAGACAACUUGUUGACUAUGUUAAGUCUUGUAGCUUACUCGCUUAUGCUAUUUUACCUACGCUUAGGAUGUUGACGAGACUGUCGAUCUC
rnacentral:rRNA from 1 species